rnacentral:lncRNA from 12 species
CAUUGUUUGAAGAUCUGAGAAAUGUCCUUUAUUCAGGGAUUUCUCCAGCAGAGGCUACUGAAAGAGCAGGGACGAGCGUUGAUUCCUUUCCCAAGCAGACUGACACAGAAAUGGAAUUCAUUAAAACCAAACUUUUUGUUAGUUGCAAGGACCCGGAGGAAUAAGCAUCAAUCUCUGUAAAGAAGUGCCAUCUGCAGCCUAUCUUAGACACACUGCUUCCUGAUAAUUAAGGUUAGUAAAUAAGUCUUUUAUUUUCCACUGAAAUACAGAGCAGGGGAGGUCAGAACUAAUUGCAAUUUUG